GAUGAAGAACGUAGCGAAAUGCGAUAAGUAAUGUGAAUUGCAGAAUUCAGUGAAUCAUCGAAUCUUUGAACGCACAUUGCGCCCGCCAGUAUUCUGGCGGGCAUGCCUGUUCGAGCGUCAUUUCAACCCUCAAGCCCCAGCGGCCUGGUGUUGGGGACCGGCGACCUCGCCCGAGCCCGCCCUCCGAGGCGCGUGCCCGGUGCGUCCGCCGCCCCCGAAAUGAAUUGGCGGCCUCGUCGCGGCCUCCUCUGCGUAGUAGCACAACCUCGCAAGCGGGAGCGCGACGCGGCCACUGCCGUAAAACGCCCAACUUUUUUAGAGUUGACCUCGGAUCAGGUAGGAAUACCCGCUGAACUUAAGCAUAUCAAUAAGCGGAGGA
rnacentral:misc_RNA from 1 species